CCUACGGGAGGCAGCAGUGAGGAAUAUUGGUCAAUGGGCGAGAGCCUGAACCAGCCAAGUCGCGUGAGGGAAGACGGUCCUACGGAUUGUAAACCUCUUUUGUCAGGAAGCAAGGAGCGCCACGAGUGGAUCGGCGAGAGUACCUGAAGAAAAAGCAUCGGCUAACUCCGUGCCAGCAGCCGCGGUAAUACGGAGGAUGCGAGCGUUAUCCGGAUUUAUUGGGUUUAAAGGGAGCGUAGGUGGAUUGUUAAGUCAGUUGUGAAAGUUUGCGGCUCAACCGUAAAAUUGCAGUUGAAACUGGCAGUCUUGAGUACAGUAGAGGUGGGCGGAAUUCGUGGUGUAGCGGUGAAAUGCUUAGAUAUCACGAAGAACUCCGAUUGCGAAGGCAGCUCACUGGACUGCAACUGACACUGAUGCUCGAAAGUGUGGGUAUCAAACAGGAUUAGAUACCCUGGUAGUC
rnacentral:rRNA from 1 species